CGUUGACAUUUUGAGUUCAAGAAAACCAGUUGAUAUGAUCUUACCUGAACUUGGUCCUUAUACUCUAGAAUACACCUCAAAUGGUCGCUACAUGAUAGUAGGUGGGCGAAAAGGUCAUAUUGGUAUGAUGGAUAUGUUGAGUAUGGAUCUCAUCAAAGAGUUUCAGGUAUAUGCAAAGAUUUGAUCCUGGAUUUGGUUUUAAUGGAGGCGCGUACACCAUUCAACCUUUGUAUGCUCCUGCUAUUACCUACAACACUGAGUUCCCCCAGCUUGGGUCGCCACAAAUGUCUCCUGUUCCUGUUGA